rnacentral:rRNA from 1 species
GAUGAGCGCUGGCGGCGUGCCUAAUACAUGCAAGUCGAGCGAACGGACGAGAAGCUUGCUUCUCUGAUGUUAGCGGCGGACGGGUGAGUAACACGUGGAUAACCUACCUAUAAGACUGGGAUAACUUCGGGAAACCGGAGCUAAUACCGGAUGAUAUUUUGAACCGCAUGGUUCAAAAGUGAAAGACGGUCUUGCUGUCACUUAUAGAUGGAUCCGCGCUGCAUUAGCUAGUUGGUAAGGUAACGGCUUACCAAGGCAACGAUGCAUAGCCGACCUGAGAGGGUGAUCGGCCACACUGGAACUGAGACACGGUCCAGACUCCUACGGGAGGCAGCAGUAGGAAAUCUUCCGCAAUGGGCGAAAGCCUGACGGAGCAACGCCGCGUGAGUGAUGAAGGUCUUCGGAUCGUAAAACUCUGUUAUUAGGGAAGAACAUAUGUGUAAGUAACUGUGCACAUCUUGACGGUACCUAAUCAGAAAGCCACGGCUAACUACGUG